CACAUGUGACGUAGUUUGAUCCUGGCUCAGAACGAACGCUGGCGGCAGGCCUAACACAUGCAAGUCGAACGAUAUAGUGGCAGACGGGUGAGUAACGCGUGGGAACGUACCUUUCACUACGGAAUAGCUCUGGGAAACUGGUGGUAAUACCGUAUACGCCCUUCGGGGGAAAGAUUUAUCGGUGAAAGAUCGGCCCGCGUUAGAUUAGGUAGUUGGUGGGGUAAUGGCCUACCAAGCCUACGAUCUAUAGCUGGUCUGAGAGGAUGAUCAGCCACACUGGGACUGAGACACGGCCCAGACUCCUACGGGAGGCAGCAGUGGGGAAUCUUGCACAAUGGGCGAAAGCCUGAUGCAGCCAUGCCGCGUGAAUGAUGAAGGCCUUAGGGUUGUAAAAUUCUUUCGCUAGGGAUGAUAAUGACAGUACCUAGUAAAGAAGCCCCGGCUAACUUCGUG
rnacentral:rRNA from 1 species